rfam:Pongo abelii chromosome 2b.
GGAUGUGAGGGCGAUCUGGCUGCAACAUCUGUCACCCCAUUGAUUGCCAGGGUUGAUUCGGCUGAUCUAGCUGGCUAGGAGGGUGUCUUCUUCCUGCCUCACCGCUUCACCAUGUGCGUCCCUCCCGAAAGCUGCGCGCUCUGUGGAAGAGGACGACCAUCCCCGAUAGAGGAGGGCGGGUCUUCCGUCAAGGGUAUAUGAGUAGCUGCGCCCCCUGCUAGAACCUCCAAGCAAGCUCUUAGGAAUCGGCAACACGGAGAAGGUAAGAAACUUUCCCAAGGACAGUAGACACCUUGGGUUUGCUCUGGGCAGUCU